AUACGGAGAUGGCUAACGUUGCUCGGAAUCACUGGGCGUAAAGAGCGCGUAGGCGGUCCGAUAAGUUGGGUGUUAAAGACCAUGGCUCACCCAUGGAAAUGCACCCAAUACUGUCGGACUAGAGGACCGGAGGGGAGAGUGGAACUCCUGGUGGAGCGGUGAAAUGCGUAGAUAUCAGGAGGAACGCCGGUGGCGAAGGCGACUCUCUGGACGGUCCCUGACGCUGAGUGCGCGAAAGCUAGGGGAGCGAACGGGAUUAGAAACCCCAGUAGUCC
rnacentral:rRNA from 1 species